rnacentral:rRNA from 5 species
UACGUAGGUGGCGAGCGUUAUCCGGAUUUACUGGGCGUAAAGGGAGCGUAGGCGGAUGAUUAAGUGGGAUGUGAAAUACCCGGGCUCAACUUGGGUGCUGCAUUCCAAACUGGUUAUCUAGAGUGCAGGAGAGGAGAGUGGAAUUCCUAGUGUAGCGGUGAAAUGCGUAGAGAUUAGGAAGAACACCAGUGGCGAAGGCGACUCUCUGGACUGUAACUGACGCUGAGGCUCGAAAGCGUGGGGAGCAAACAGG